UUUAUAAAUAAUACAAAGUAUGACGUUUAGAUGAUUAUAUUUUUGACAAUAAAAAUCACUCUGAAACACCACGAAAAAUCACCAGUCUAAGUGAUCUUUUGAAUUCCUUAUAAAAUUAUUUGAGUAAUUUAGUAAGGCAUGAAAAUUUGUCUCUUCCAUCCGUCUGUUUGGAGUCGUUCGUGGUAAUAGGAUUAAAAUUCUAAACUUUUUGUAAUACAG
rnacentral:lncRNA from 1 species